rnacentral:lncRNA from 1 species
GUUAUUUUGGCACAAAUAGUUCAAAACCUCUAAAGGUUUCAUGGAGUAUGGUAUCAUUUGAGAUAAAUCAUGCAAUAAUUCUUCUAGAAAAUCAUUUGCCUCUAUAUCCGAUUCUUUUUCUAUGAAAAGUAUUGAAUGAAGAUUUUCUGGUAUUUUUCUAGUAUUUUAUCAUCUUUCCCUUUUCCCUUUUCUUAUAUUUCCCUCAA